rnacentral:rRNA from 1 species
GGACCUCAUAAAGUAUGUCGUAGUCCGGAUUGGAGUCUGCAACUCGACUCCAUGAAGUCGGAAUCGCUAGUAAUCGUAGAUCAGAAUGCUACGGUGAAUACGUUCCCGGGCCUUGUACACACCGCCCGUCACACCAUGGGAGUGGGUUGCAAAAGAAGUAGGUAGCUUAACCUUCGGGAGGGCGCUUACCACUUUGUGAUUCAUGACUGGGGUGAAGUCGUAACAAGGUAACCGUAGGGGAACCUGCGGUUGGAUCACCUCCUU